GCCCCGGAGUUUAAGGGAAGUGUUAUUUGUUAAUCCAAAGACAUUGAAAUUAAUUUUUUUUAAACUCACAGAUUACGUUUGGAAAUGUUCUUUCCUCGUUCCACACUUUCUCCAGGCCCAACACUGUCACUGAUCCCACCUGGACCUCUGACUGCCUGGGUUAGCGGUUGUCAUGUUCCCUGGCACCUGCUUCACCGGUCAGGCUUCCCUGCUGGGUCAGGGCUCCUCCCAGGAGCUCGGUCAGUGUUGCUCUCUGCACCUGCUUUGCCCCAGACUUAAGUCCCCAGACCUGGAACUUCCUCCAGGCUUCAAAGAGGAAAGCCCUCUUCCCAUGCAUGAAAAUACUGUUUAAAUUUCCCGGAGUGACUUAAUCAACCGGCCGGGGUCCUUUCUCAGUCACUUCUUGUCAGAACAAUAAUCAGAUUUGCUCAAAAAUAAAAUAAAUCAUUUUCAUAUAAUCUCUCCUUCCCUCCUUCCUCUCUCUCUCUCUCUCUCUCUCUCUCUCUCUCUCUCUCUCUCUCUCUCUCUCUCUUUUAACCACAGCCCAGAGGCCACCUGCCUCCAGGAAGGCGCUGAGGCAGCAGACUUGGCGGCAGUAAUGAGUUUUCCCACUGACACGGACCUCAGAUGCCCAGGUGAAGACAGGAGAGAAAGACACGGGGCAAGGAAGUCAAGAGAAUAGCAAGGCUUUCCAAUAGACACCACACGGCGGCUGAGGCCACGGGGGCCAGGAAAGCUUUGCCAAGGAUGACCAGUCUGAGAAGAACCAGAUCCAGGUGGCUGCAAGGGCACAUUUCUGGCGAGGGCUUGCAGACCCCUGCGUGAAUGGCGGCUCCUUACAAGGUUGUCUGAGUUCACGCCAUCUGUUUGUUCUAACAAUUUAUAAUCAAAGAGCAAUGGAGACCACCGCCAAGCAAUAUGGGCCACUGUCUGUCUGCAGCAAUAUGGGCCACUGUCUGUCUGCAGCAAUAUGGGCCACUGUCUGUCUGCAGCAAUAUGGGCCACUGUCUGUCUGCAGCAAUAUGGGCCACUGUCUGUCUGCAGCAAUAUGGGCCACUGUCUGUCUGCAGCAAUAUGGGCCACUGUACAUCACCCAUUUCUUGAAGAAACACUGAAGGCAUGUUAUAGAAGACAGCAAGCCUCAUCAACUAGAAACCACAGUCAAGUCUAAAGAUUCAUCCUUUGGGGGCUGGAGAGAUGGCUCAGUGGUUAAGAGAACCAGCUGUUCUCCUAGAGGACCUGAGUUCAAUUCCUAGCACCCACAUGGCAGCUCACAACUGUCUGUAGCUCCAAGCUCUGACACCCUCACAAGAUAUAUAUGUACACCAAUGCACAUAAAAGUAAAAAUAAAUAAGUUAUUUUAAAAAGAUUCAUGCCUUCAUUCUGCCAAUAAGCAAUUCCAUCUCUGUGCUGGGGUUAGAAUUUC